CCAACCUGGUUGAUCCUGCCAGUAGUCAUAUGCUUGUCUCAAAGAUUAAGCCAUGCAUGUCUAAGUAUAAGCGGCUAUACUGUGAAACUGCGAAUGGCUCAUUAAAUCAGUUAUGGUUUAUUUGAUGGUACCUUACUACUUGGAUACCCGUAGUAAUUCUAGAGCUAAUACAUGCAGGAGUUCCCGACUUCGGA
rnacentral:rRNA from 1 species